rnacentral:rRNA from 1 species
AUUGAACGCUGGAGGCAGGCCUAACACAUGCAAGUCGAACGAGUGGCGGACGGGUGAGUAAUGUCUGGGAAACUGCCUGAUGGAGGGGGAUAACUAAUGGAAACGGUAGCUAAUACCGCAUACCAUAAGAUGUGCCCAGAUGGGAUUAGCUAGUUGGUGGGGUAACGGCUCACCAAGGCGACGAACCCUAGCUGGUCUGAGAGGAUGACCAGCUACACUUGACCUGGUACACUGUCCAGACUCCACCGUGAGGCAGCAGUGGGGAAUAUUGCACAAUGGGCGCAAGCCUGAUGCAGCCCUGCCGCGUGUAUGAAGAAGGCCUUCGGGUUGUAAAGUACUUUCAGCGGUGAGGCGUUACCCGCAGAAGAAGCACCGGCUAACUCCGGGCCAGCAGCCGCGGUAAUUC